rnacentral:rRNA from 1 species
GACGGAGGAUGCAAGCGUUAUCCGGAAUGAUUGGGCGUAAAGCGUCCGCAGGUGGCAGUUCAAGUCUGCUGUCAAAGACCGGGGCUUAACUUCGGAAAGGCAGUGGAAACUGAACAGCUAGAGUAUGGUAGGGGCAGAGGGAAUUCCUGGUGUAGCGGUGAAAUGCGUAGAGAUCGGGAAGAACAUCGGUGGCGAAAGCGCUCUGCUGGACUGCAACUGACACUCAGGGACGAAAGCUAGGGGAGCGAAUGGG